GGGAGUUGCUGUGCAGGUCUCUGGCUAGCUGCUGUCCUAACUUCUUUUCUUCCCUAAACAGCCAGGAGAGAUCCCUGGGUGCGCUGAGGUGGAGAGCCCCGCGCCAGAGAGAUGUGGCUGUCAGAAGAGCCCCCCGCUCGUUAGCGGCUUCCCAGGAAGUAGCUUCCUCGCGGGAGUUUUUUCUCACCUGGACUGGGUUGCUGGAAUUGGUCACCCAAAGUAAACUUUCUUUUUUUUAACCCUGGUUCGCGUUUAUGCAGGGCAAGGUCGUUAUAUCAGCGGAGCCGUUCUCUGCCUUCCCAAGUACUGGCCAGAGGACUGCUGUGAGUGUUUAAGUCCCAGACUUGGCGAAUCUCUACACCUUGGAACCUGCUGGAAAAAAGCGCAAAAGUUGCGAAGCGCGGAGGUAGCGCAAGCUUCCUUUGCUCCUGCGCUGGGCACGUUGCUCCGGCACCGUCUCCAAACACAUAGUUUUUGGAACCUGGGAUGCUUGACUGGCUCUGGAAGUCCGCUUCAAGUUGUAUGGCUGGAGACAGUACGUAAACGCCGAACGUGGGGUUACCAAGGCCCGACAGUGGCACAAAAGGAUGAUUCAGUGCAGAAGAUGAAGCUUGUGUUGAUAGGAGCACUAACAACGCUAAUCACAGCACAGAAAUCGAUCCAGACUACUGGAGGAAGAGCGUUGCCGCGCCCAGGAUUUGAGGACCAAUAGCUAUUGGGCGCACAUCUGUAAUUCAAGUCUGACAGGGCUUUGGAUUCAGGGUGAGCUGACUCUGUAGGAAGCAGAAAGACUGUUUUAGGGGCUGAUGGAUCCAUCAGGACUGCAGCACCCUUCUGCUAACUUGAGUAUGUGCACAAGGCUACUUACUCAUAGAUCCACGCGCAUAGGGAGUCGGAGUGUACCUGUCGGACGUCCAGGCUUUCCUUCUCCUGCAGUUAAGGAAAGUUUGAAGCAUAACCACAGAGCCUGCGUGAAGGAGAUAUAAAUAAUGAAUUUGUUGGUGAAAAGGAUAAAGAGGCAUUUCAGUUCUAUGUGUAUUAGUUUGCCAGGAGCGACUUGGUGGAUUUAAUACUCCAAAAUGUAUCUCGGAUGGACACUGACUUCUUACAGAGUUUCAAGUGGAGAAUAUUCCAAUGUUUUCGAACCUGGUAUAAAUCUAUAAAUUAUCUGCUUGCCACAGAGUUUAAUGUUUCUACCAGUUGUGAUUCUUAUUUCUAAUUAAGUGGCGGUUACUGAAGUUGCAAUAAGAAUUAUAAUGAAUUAAUUCCAACAGAAUUCCAUCUAAUAUGAUUUCUGAUGACAUAAACCUGUGGUUUAAUGAUAAGAUAAUGUUAGACUAUUAGACAAAAAUUAUAGAACUGUAAUAAAGAGACUCGCUGGGUGAAAGAAAAUUCUGAAAUCGGCGCUGACUACUCACCUAAAAGAUAUGGGCUUGAAAUUCCUUUCUGGGUUACUGUGAUGUGCAACAGCUCUCUGCUACUAAAGUGAGCUCUUUGUAAAAUAAACAAACAUAGUUCAUUUACACAUUAAGACCUGAAAUUUAUCUUAUAGUUUUCUGGAAUGCUAUGAAAAAUCCUGUGCUAACCAUAGAGGAGUCUUUUUCACUUACCUUGAGUUUUAUAUGGUAGGCAACCCUGGUAAUCAGUGGUAUAAUAUUCUUGACAUAUAAGACCCUUCAACAAAGGGGGGGAAAAAAGGCUGUGAAUUUAUGGAGUCUCUUCAAGAAGCAUUGGCUUCUCAAUCUUAGAAGAAAAAAAAAAACACAUUUUCCUCAAUGAUUUUUUAUUGCUGCAUAACCAACAUUUAUUGCUUGUUGUACAUAAAGAGGAAUAUAGGAAUCACCCUUCUCCCUCCCACCUCACACUUUGCUUCUUUGGGGGAUAUAGUUGUCAGUAAACAAGAGAAGCAAAUCUCAAGGUCAGAGGAUUCCUCCCAUUCCCUAUCCCCUCAUAUCUGUCUACAUUAUUAAGAAGAAAUUAUUGAGACUCAAAUGUACUGUCAGAUCCAAGGGACUUCCAAACCCACCCACACCAUAUUAAAAUAACUACUUCAUUGUUUCAGUGUUGUGUCAUUCCCUAAAUUAUUUGAUACCUGAAAAUUGAAGUUGGUAUGUAUGUUAUCUCUUCAAAUGGAGACUUUGCUGAACCUUUUAUCUCUUCAAGAUAAUUGUAGUAGACAGUGUAUUUUCAUAGCACAUUUUUCCUUCCCUGGAGAUAGCAUUUAAUAUAUUCAUAUAUUGCGUCAUUAUAGAUUAAAGUUGUUCUUUGCAUACUGGUAUGCCUUUCCCACUGCACUAUGAGCUCUGACAGCAAGGAUGGUGUUAUGUACCUUGCUGUUUUCUGACAUCUAAUACAGAAUUUUCACUGAGUAAAAAGAUGUAUAAAAUGAUGAUGAUAAGGAAAGCUACCAUUUAUUGAGUGACUACUGUGUGCUGUGAUUAAUGUAUUUUUUUUCAUUUUAUACUCUUCACAACCCACUGACCUAAAUCUAUAUACUCAUAUUAUAGGGAAAUUGAUGCUUAUGCAAAUUUAACCAAGAUCACAAAGCUAUUUUGCUACAGAUAAAUUGGCAUUAGAAUCUAUAUCAGCCUGACUCUGAAGCCUGCAUGAUUAACCACUUUGCUGAGUUCAAAUAGCCAGGCACCACAUUUUCAAUUAUUCAAGGUUAAGUGAAUUUGUAUAUAUUUAAUGCUGAAUAAAGGCACAUAUCAAAUUUAGAAUAAAUUCUUUGUCUUAUGCAAUCUAAUCAAUACUGAUUUAAGUGUAGGAACAUUGAAACAGUAUAGUUCUCUUGUGUUAAAUAUGAUACUGUGUUCUAGGCAUUAUUACCAGGAGAAAUGCCAAAUAGUUGUAAAUUUCUCUAAAGGGAGGGAGGCGAGGCCACUAUGAAUUUAUAGUUAUACAAAAUUUUUCAUUGUGUAUUUCCAUGUCAUUAUCCUUAUGUUAAAAACAAAAGAAGUGAGGAGUUCCUGCUGUGUUGCAGUAGGUUGAGAACCUGAUUGCAGCUGCUCUGCUAGUGUCACUUUGGAAGUUUGAGUUCCAUCCCCUCCCUGGCAUAGUAGUUUAAAAGGAUCAGGUAUUGUCACGACUGUGGAAUCGCUCGCUGGGAUUUGAUCCCAGUCCCAGCCUCAUGUACAGCCAUAAAAAUUUUUUAAAAAUUUUUUAUAAAGAAGUGAAAUUAUUAUCGUUUCAUUUAUGCAAGAUGAAUAAGUUGUAGAGCUCUGUACAGCAUUGUCCAUAUAGCUAACAAUACUGUAUUGUACACUUAAAAUUUUAACAGAAUAUAGAUCUUAAGUGUUCUUAUC
rnacentral:lncRNA from 1 species